rnacentral:rRNA from 1 species
AAAUUGAAGAGUUUGAUCAUGGCUCAGAUUGAACGCUGGCGGCAGGCCUAACACAUGCAAGUCGAACGGUAACAGGAAGAAGCUUGCUUCUUUGCUGACGAGUGGCGGACGGGUGAGUAAUGUCUGGGAAACUGCCUGAUGGAGGGGGAUAACUACUGGAAACGGUAGCUAAUACCGCAUAACGUCGCAAGACCAAAGAGGGGGACCUUCGGGCCUCUUGCCAUCGGAUGUGCCCAGAUGGGAUUAGCUUGUUGGUGGGGUAACGGCUCACCAAGGCGACGAUCCCUAGCUGGUCUGAGAGGAUGACCAGCCACACUGGAACUGAGACACGGUCCAGACUCCUACGGGAGGCAGCAGUGGGGAAUAUUGCACAAUGGGCGCAAGCCUGAUGCAGCCAUGCCGCGUGUAUGAAGAAGGCCUUCGGGUUGUAAAGUACUUUCAGCGGGGAGGAAGGGAG